rnacentral:rRNA from 1 species
GUUGUCCGGAUUUAUUGGGCGUAAAGAGCGUGUAGGCGGCCAGACAGGUCAGCUGUGAAAACUCGAGGCUCAACCUCGAGACGUCGGUUGAAACCGUCUGGCUAGAGUCCGGAAGAGGAGAGUGGAAUUCCCGGUGUAGCGGUGAAAUGCGCAGAUAUCGGGAGGAACACCGGUGGCGAAGGCGGUUCUCUGGGCCGUACCUGACGCUGAGGAGCGAAAGCGUGGGGAGCGAACAGG